AACGAACGCUGGCGGCAGGCUUAACACAUGCAAGUCGAGCGCCCCGCAAGGGGAGCGGCAGACGGGUGAGUAACGCGUGGGAACGUGCCCUUUGGUUCGGAACAACUCCGGGAAACUGGAGCUAAUACCGGAUAAGCCCUUCGGGGGAAAGAUUUAUCGCCAAAGGAUCGGCCCGCGUCUGAUUAGCUAGUUGGUGAGGUAAUGGCUCACCAAGGCGACGAUCAGUAGCUGGUCUGAGAGGAUGAUCAGCCACACUGAGACUGAGACACGGCCCAGACUCCGACGGGAGGCAGCAGUGGGGAAUAUUGGACAAUGGGCGCAAGCUUGAUCCAGCCAUGCCGCGUGAGUGAUGAAGGCCUUAGGGUUGUAAAGCUCUUUUGUCCGGGAAGAUAAUGACUGUACCGGAAGAAUAAGCCCCGGCUAACUUCGUGCCAGCCGCCGCGGUAACAC
rnacentral:rRNA from 1 species